CCUCACUGCUAUCGGGAUGGGACUAAGACAUGCUAGUCGAGCGCCUUGAGCUAUGGCAAGGCGCGGCGCACAGCUCAGUAGCACGUGGCUAACCUGCCCUUGGGACAGGGACAACCCCGGGAAACUGGGGCUAAUCCCUGAUGGGUGAGAACUCCUGGAAUGGAUUUUCAUCGAAAAGGUGUUGAAGCAUGCUUUCAACGGCGUCCGAGGAUGGGGCCGCGGCCGAUCAGGUUGUUGGUGAGGCAACGGCUCACCAAGCCUUUAACCGGUACGGGCCGUGAGAGCGGGAGCCCGGAGAUGGGUACUGAGACAAGGACCCAGGCCCUACGGGGCGCAGCAGUCGCGAAAACUCCGCAAUACGCGAAAGCGUGACGGGGCUAUCCCGAGUGCCGUCCGCUGAGGAUGGCUUUUCCCCAGUGUAAUGAGCUGGAGGCAAUAAAAGGAGGGCAAGGAUGGUGUCAGCCGCCGCGGUAAAACCAACUCCUUGAGUGGUGAGGAUUAUUAUUGGGCUUAAAGCGUUCGUAGCUGGCCUGACUAGUCCCGCGUUAAAUCCAACGACCUAAUCGUUGGCUGCGGGGGACACGGUCAGGCUUGGGGGCGGGAGAGGUUAGCGGUAUUCCCGGGGUAGGGGUGAAAUCUUAUAAUCCCGGGAGGACCAGCAGUGGCGAAGGCAGCUAACCAGAACGCGCCCGACGGUGAGGGACGAAAGCUGGGGGAGCGAACCGGAUUAGAUACCCGGGUAGUCCCAGCCGUAAACGAUGCAGGCUAGGUGUUGGCGCGGCUACGUGCCGCUCCAGUGCCGCAAGGAAGCCGUUAAGCCUGCCGCCUGGGAAGUAAGAUCGCAAGAUUGAAACUUAAAGGAAUUGGCGGGGGAGCACCACAAGGGGUGAAGCUUGCGGUUU
rnacentral:rRNA from 1 species